CAGCAGCUCUUCAGUCGCUGGAAGAUACCCGCUGGUUCUGAAACUCUUUGGAAGCAGUUGGUGUACAUCCUUUUAUGGAAACGGGCUAAAUUGGCUGCACUCUCACCAAGAUCCUGACUGGGCGGUGAUUUGUAAACAAUCACUGUAAAGUUGAAGUAACUCAGUUGACUGAAGCACAUCGCCACCACUCCGUUUUCCCUUUCUGUGACAAGCCUACCUGGUCUUGCUUCGAAGUAUUUUGAUCGAUGGACUGAAGCUUAGUUAAAUAAUGUGAGUAUAACCUGGUGUUGUGGUUUUAUUUGUG